GCCACAACCAUUCAGCCACAAAUUCAUUCCUCGACAAGGACAGUGUAUGAUGAAGACCCGGCGCGGUGCAAGAUAGGACAUCCACGCACAGAGACAAGUCUCGGUGGCCAUUCCAACAUGGUCAGCCGCUGCCUGGCCGACGUCGCCGAAGGGGCAGCCGCCGCCACCCGCCAUAUCUGGCAAUUCUACAUACGGGCGAGCCAGGGUACCAAGCGCCUAGGCGAGGCACGUCAACAGCCGCAACCGCAAGACACCCUCCAACCAAGCCCACGCCGCCUCCCACCCUUUCGACCAUCGAUGAGGACUGCCCGCUUCUUGCACCCAAGCCUAUCCCACGCGACGAGGACACCAGCGUGUGCGCCGCCACUCACCCUGGAACCCCCACACAGCCUGCGUGAACGCACACGUCACCGCAAUCGCGCCCCACGCCAGCACCAUGUCCCCGACAAGCGAGCACAACCCGUGCUACCAAUCUCCAGCGAGGAGGAAGAGGGGCCUUGCCGCCCCAAUGCUGCCCUAGCUUUGCUUGGCGGCGUCGGAGACCCUCCGGUGACGGCGAGGGUGGAGUGGAGGGAGGCGGCAAAGCUAGGUUUCACCCAGCCGUCGUCCACGGGAGCGAUAGGGGUGAGAGGUACAGGAGUAGGAUCUGGAUGGCCUUUAGACUGAAACAAACACCUUCAGAUUAGCAUCACACCUGUACUUGUGGGCACUCAUUCAGGCAAGGGUAUCGCCAAACGAUUUUGAUUACCUUGGACACUUCUUCGGUACGGUGAACGCAAGAAACAGCGAGAGUUCUGUUUCUCCUUGGCACAAGGCUUCCUUUCUUCACUGAGAAUGAAAGGAAAGGAAGGAAGUCAAUGUAAAAAAAUAUUCAGUGGCAUAUAAGAAAGCAAUAAAAAUAAA